rnacentral:rRNA from 1 species
AUUGAACGCUGGCGGAUGCUUUACACAUGCAAGUCGAACGGCAGCACGGACUUCGGUCUGGUGGCGAGUGGCGAACGGGUGAGUAAUGUAUCGGAACGUGCCCAGUCGUGGGGGAUAACGUAGUGAAAAUUACGCUAAUACCGCAUACGAUCUAUGGAUGAAAGCGGGGGAUCGCAAGACCUCGCGCGAUUGGAGCGGCCGUUAUCAGAUUAGGUAGUUGGUGGGGUAAAGGCCCACCAAGCCAACGAUCUGUAGCUGGUCUGAGAGGACGACCAGCCACACUGGAACUGAGACACGGUCCAGACUCCUACGGGAGGCAGCAGUGGGGAAUUUUGGACAAGGGGCGAAAGCCUGAUCCAGCCAUUCCGCGUGCAGGAUGAAGGCCCUCGGGUUGUAAACUGCUUUUGUACAGAACGAAAAGGUUUCUACUAAUACUAGGGGCUCAUGACGGUACUGUAAGAAUAAGCACCGGCUAACUACGUGCCAGCAGCCGCCGUAA